rnacentral:misc_RNA from 1 species
AGCAGAACAGUGACUCCUGAGAAUGACAACAUUUGCUCAUUCAAGAAAUUCUAGUUGUAUUUAACAAUUUCACAAAUUCUAUCUUCUCUAAACAUUAGAAAAUUUAUAGCACAAGGUAUAAGAACUGCAAGGCAGAAUGUGUUUACUAGCAUUAGCCAACCUACAACCGCCUAACACUGCCCUGUUUAAAAAACAUAAAAGACAGGCACCCAAAAUCCUGAUGUAGAAAAGAAGAAAUCCCUGCAAGAUCCACAAUAAAAACUGACCUGUAACAAUCACUCAAGCUCUUGUACAAAAUUCCAGCUUGUGCAUUACAUUUUGUCGUGAAUUAUUUACUUAAUUUGCAAUUGUACAAUGCUCAAAUGGAUUCAGUUAUGCAAAUUAUUUUCGCUUUCAUAAAAUACAAAUGUUAAGCUUUUCUUUUCCUUGGCACUCUAUUCCUAUCAUCACUUUACGCAAAAACUGUGUUAUUGGAGCAAUUUACAAUCAAUAAGUUGUUUUCAUCAUCUUCCUAUAAAAUAUAUGGCAAAAGAAUUCCAUCCAUUCCUUGCAUAUGACAACUAUCUCAAUUGCCCAAAAUAACUGUCACUGCAUUAUACUGUUAUAUAGCAAAUAUAAACCAUGCUGUUGACACUAAAUUAGCAGGACACAAGAUAUCAAAUGCAUAAACAAAAUUUGUAAGAGAACAACUUUCAUCAAUCAAAUCUAAGUACUCAUCCACAUUGAUCAUUUCUAUCUAUAUCACUCAACAGAAAUGCGCCAUGGGUUUCAGAAUUACAGAAUGACAUUUACCAAUCAAAAUGCCUUUUCACACUGCAAUUAAGAUGAGCAACAGUAGUGCUCACCACAUCAGCAGAUAUUAUUUCUAGAACUUAAAAUCAUUUGAGAUUCAAAAGCAACAAUUCCCAACUGCUUUAAGAACUUUGUACCACAUAUUGGAAAUAUUCCCAGAGUAAUCCCAAGAGCUGCAGAGAAUGCCAGU